AGCUCUGGGCCUGGGGAGCUGACUCCAGGGCAUGCAUUGCUCAGAGAUGCCCUGGAGGAAGUUGGAAGCAAUCAGGCCUUAGACGGAGAAUCAGGAAAAGGUGAAGGGACCAGGACAGCUGAGCGGAGAUGACAGGGCUCCAGAAGGAUGGGCUGUCCCGUCACCUGGGGUUGAAGAGCACUGGCAGAGGCCCUGUGAGACAGCUCCACUUGAAAAGGGACACCCAGGAUGGGACCCACACAGGAAAACAGACCAAGGUGUCCACAGGUGUGCCAGGUCUGUCCAAAGGCAGUUGGCAGAGACCAGUUACACCAAGUGGCCAGGAAGAGAAAGGAAAGCAGGAGCGACCCACAGCAGACGGUCAAGAACAUGAAUGUGAACACAGGAGCCCGAGGAGCAGCCACACUUGCCUAGACGUGGCAGAACCAGGGAGGCCGAGGUCAGGCCGGGGAACGGUGGGCAGAGGAGGUCGCUUGGCUUGGUUUUAUAGUGGGGUUUUCAUGGUAUUUAUCAUAAUAAACCUUCAUGUUAAGGCACAAAAUGUGAGAUUCUCACUUUAGGGAGGGCAGUCUGCUUUACUCUACAGAUUAAACAUUACCUUGUCCAAAGCACCCUGACAGAAACACCCAGGAUCAUGUUUCACCAAAUAUCUGGGCACCCCAUGACCUGGUCAUGUUGACAAAAAGUUAGCCAUCACACAAGCAUGAUAACCAUUAUUAAUAUUUUGAUAAAUGAAAAUGGAGGUUAUAUAUUGUUUUGCAUCUUGCUUUGUGAGGAGGAAAGCAAUAUCAUAAGAAUUAUGUUUUGUUGAUUUGGGAUUUUUUUAAAUUGUUUUUUUUCUAGUUUUUUUUAAGUGAAAAAUUUCAGACAUACAGAAAAGUUGAAAGAAUGCUAUGUGAAAACCUAGCCAUCUGUCUGUGCCUAUGUAUGUGUAUAUAUAUAUAUGAAAUGUGUGUUGAUGUAUAUAU
rnacentral:lncRNA from 1 species